UGUGACUCCAUUGAAUGUUCUUGUGUGAUAAAGAAAGUCUCUCUUUUUGUGUGUGGUGUGUGUGUGAUGUAGAUUAAAUAUGACCGGGCCAAAACUGACAUGGCAGCAGGUCAAAAUCAAAAUCUGCAGAAUGCAGUGAAAAAGAAUACCCAGAGACAAGGCACGGGUGGUGGGUCACCAAAAGCUGACCUCACCCCAGCUGAGGCCAGCUUUGGAGCUAAAUAAAGGCAGGCCUGUUGGAGGGGAUCCCUGGGGGAAAAGAGACAAGCAUAGGUCCCUCACAAGAUGCCACCCGCUUCAUACAAGUGUCUGGCAGCACUGUGUUAUUGUUAAACCCACCAGCACGAGCACCAGACGAUGCUGAUCCAGUGAGUACUCCAUCAAAGGCAUACUGUAGGCCUGGCACGUCUUAUCUACUAGCUUCAAUAUGAAUCUGAUAAAUGUGAUCGGGUCAAGGCCCCAUUUCAUCAGCACAUAACGGUGAUGAUGAUGAGGAGACCAUCUCUCUGGAUUCCAAAAGGCAUAAGGACCCAGUGUCAUUGGUGCACUGGACUGCACACACAUAAGGAUAAAAGCCCCCUCAGGUGCCCAUGAGGCAGAUUUUGUAAAUAUGAAAUCUUUUCACAGCAUUAAAGACCCACCAUGCAGUUAUUUUAUCUUAAUAUAACAGCUUCAAAGUUAUUUCGGUGGUAAACAACGUCAUAGUAGGGCGAUUCAUCCUCCUGUUGAAGCUCGGGGAGGACGCCGCUAGCAAAACCAGCAAUGCAAGCUUGAGAGAACCGCCCCUGACAAAUCUCGCGAGAAUCACGACUUGCUUUACGGCAACGACGUCACACACGUUAGGCUUGUUCGACUUCAUGCGGCGCUGCAAGAACCGACUGCCGGUUAUGUCAAAGUACCGCGAGAAUGAUCCGACACUGCACUUUGACGUCAUCCGGCACGCGCGAAUUUGAGACGUGAUGCUAAACGAUUUAAAAGUUAAGAAAGCGCAUUCGGAAGAGAGUAGGAAAAGGAAAAGAGAAUAUGACCGCGUUAGCAACCGGACAAGAGUCCCACUCGGUCAGACUUUUACUCGUUGGCGUGAGCUAAAAGACCGCAUUUUAUGGAACAGGGAUGCUGAUCUGGCGAUCUUGUUGAUGGACUAGUUAGUAAAUUUCUCUUAUUUGUAAAGUUGUUUGCGGUCUAUGUUGUAUGUUGUUGCUCUUGCUUGUAGUAUGUCAUGCGAUUAUCAUGACAACAGUUGUCAAUAUCUCACAUAAUUAUCAGGACAUAAAUAAGCGGUUGUAAAUAGUGUAAACAUGCACAAUUUGCAAACUAUUAUGAUAAAUAGCAAUAAUCAUGUAUAGUGACAUUAUAACGACCAAUAUGAAAUAAUGCAACGUACAUAAUUAACUUUGUCAUGGCAUUUUGUAAUGUUUACAUUACAAUAAAAGAACACAA